CCUACGGGAGGCAGCAGUGGGGAAUAUUGGUCAAUGGGCGCAAGCCUGACCCAGCAACGCCGCGUGAAGGAAGAAGGCUUUCGGGUUGUUAACUUCUUUUUACAGGGGAGAGCAGAAGACGGUACCUGUCGAAUAAGCCACGGCUAACUACGUGCCAGCAGCCGCGGUCAUACGUAGGUGGCAAGCGUUGUCCGGAUUUACUGGGUGUAAAGGGCGUGUAGCCGGGCUGACAAGUCAGAUGUGAAAUCCUGGGGCUCAACCCCCGAACUGCAGUUGAAACUGGUGGUCUUGAGUAUCGGAGAGGCAGGCGGAAUUCGUGGUGUAGCGGUGAAAUGCGUAGAUAUUAGGAGGAACACCGGUGGCGAAGGCGGCCUGCUGGACGACAACUGACGGUGAGGCGCGAAAGCGUGGGGAGCAAACAGGAUUAGAUACCCCUGUAGUC
rnacentral:rRNA from 1 species